UUUUUGGGGUCUAGCCACUGUGCAGAGCCCAGGCGCGUGGGUCGGUGUCGGGUGUGUGUGUACGUAUGUGUGUGUAAUGAAACUGGACGCCUUCCUUCCCGGCGAUCUUGACUUAACCUGUCAGCAGAGGGCUUGAGGUUAGACCACAGGUUGAACCUAGGUGGCUGCUGGAGAGGCCUUGAAAUCAUGGCAGCAGCAAGACUCAACUGGGGCAGCAUCAUGUCUGGGUUUGAAUCCCGGUUCAGCCACUUUCCAGCUGUGUGAUGUGGGGCAAGUCAGGCUCAGAUCCCACCAGGACUGCAACCCUUAGCCCUGUCUGGUCUCCCCUGCAACCCUUGAGGCCACCCUGGAGGCUCAGCCAUCCAUUCACCCCAGGUGCCAUCUAAACUGGUUUCUGGUGGAUGAGAAGAAGCUAGUUCUGGGAAGAGUGUUCCAGGCAGACAGAACAACACGUGCAAAGCCAGGAGCCUGAGAGCUAUUGAGAAAGAAGCUGGAAGCUCAAGCCUGACUAUAGGACCAGCACAGCCCCUGGCCAGCCGCAUGCUGCAGAGGCUCUGGCUGACUGUCUCUGCUCGCCUGUUCUGUUGUUUGCAUGUUCUCAGAAUAGGAGACCCCUAAAGACAGAAACUGCAUGUGCCCUGCACAGGAAAUCUUGUAUUGGCCCUCUCAGCAGCCUUCUGUUUCCAAACCCUAUGGAAACUGCGCUCACCAAGUCAGCAGAGGCCUCCUCCUCUCAGCCUCAACUUCUUGGGGGAAAUUGGUUCUAGGGCCAGCAAGACUUCCAAAGAGCCUCUUCCCAGCAGGUUCAACCUCUCAUCAUCUGAAAGUCUUUCUGCUCCCCUCAGGGAUCCCUCACCAAGCCCUCUGCCCCUGAAGGUUGGUGCUCUGAGGGCAUCCUCCUCUCUCUGUGCACUCGCCAUCAGAGUGGUUUAGCUCCCCUUGUUCCAAUUCCAGUUGGCCACAAGCAGCUCCCAAGUCAAUUUCUCUGGUUCACUGUCCAUUAGUUGACCCAGCUAGAACCCCACCCCUGGCUCCUGACGCCUCUCCUGCUGGACUCUUCAGCAUGUUGGAUGAAGGCCAUUAGUGCUGAACUCACCAUACUCUUCCAAGAUCUGCCUGCUCCUCCCCAUCACCCCAGAGCAAGCCCUUGGCUCCUCUCCCCUUCCUAGAAACUCCCACCAGUGUUGUCAGUUCUCUUGGGUCAUGAGUCCUUAAAAAUGAACACAGAAUCUAAUUUUAUUUUCAAAACAUGAAACCAGUUCACCAUUUAACUUUGCUCUUAUUAAGUCUAUUAUCCUGAUUCAUCCUCUUUGGUAUUAAAGUCAAUAAAUCGUAUAAAUCUUGAAACUUUUUAACUCAGAAAAAUAAACUCUGUUAUGACAA